AGAGCCGCAGUCAUCACCCAGCUCAAGUCAAAAGGGCCUGUUGUAGCCCUGGGAGAUGCUCGCAUUGACAGUCCUGGAUUCAGUGCACAGUAUUGUACCUAUAAUGCCAUGGACAAUGAAUCCAGACAGGUAAUCUGCAUGGUCAACAUCGACAAGCGUGAGACCAUGCGGAACUCUGUCAUCAUGGAGAAGGCGGACUUCAUGCAAGCAUUUGAGACACUCUGGAGGAACUCAACAUAGAGGAAUUCUGCAUGGAUGCUCAUUCACAAAUAUCAGCCCUCUUCAGCGGGACAACAAAGGGGGUGCACCGUCCUUCAGAUAUGGAGUAAUGAUAUCUGCAACCACUUCUGGUACUGUUGCAAGACUGCAGAUACAUAUGAAGACUUCUUUGUCAACUGCAGAGUUGGAGUCCUUCCACAAUCACAUUCUCAUGUACGCAAGCAAACGCUUCAGCUCUUCACCACCUGUGUACGCUGCUCGAGUCAUGUUGGCUGCCCUGGACUACAACCACCACGUUGACAGACCAGCCAUGAGAAGGGCUGAUGGCUCUCUUCAGUAUGUUUAAUUUUACAUGGAAAAAUUAAAUAGUGUACACUGUAAGGUAAUCUGAAUGUAUCUCUUUUCUCUUAUGGUAGAUACGGCAAGGUGUACAAUAAAAAGUCCAGGAAGUGGAGCCUUUACACAGUAAAGGUGAAUGAAUGAAUGAAUGAAUGAAUGAAUGAAUGCUUUAUUUCAAACAUGUGAAAAAUAUAUUACACUUGAAGCACUAGUCAUUAAAACCCUUUGUAUGUUUGAAAAGGAGUAGGAAGAAGCAUUAGCUUAAUAAUUCUUACCCCUUCUCCACUUAGUACCUAGUACUAUAGGUUAUCUUACUUCCUGUGUAUCCUGUUUUUUUUUGUUGUUGUUGUUUUUUUUGUUUUUUUUGUUUUUUUAAUACUCUCAACAAAAACAAUCACCAACAAACAACACAAUAACCGCUUGUGUAAAAAUAAAAUAAAUGACAAGUAUGGCAAAAUGUGAGAACCCUAGUGUUUGUCAUACCCAUCUUCUGCCCUGUACCUUGUAAAUACCAUCUGUUUGUACCGCUGUUUGAAUUUGCUCAUGGUUGGACAUUGUCUGAGCUCCUCCGCUAGUCUGUUCCACAGUUUCACUCCACAUAUUGAAACGCAAAAAGUUUUUAAAGUUGAGCGUGCAUACAGAUGUUUUAGAUUCAGUUCCCCCCUCAGAUUAUAUCCCCCUUCUCUCGGAAAAAAACAUGCUUGAAUAUUUACUGGUAAUAUGUUGUUUGUUGCUCUAUACAUGAUUUGUGCUGUUUGGAAGCUUACCAGAUCAGUGAGUUUCAGUAUUUUUGAUUUUGAGAAUAAGGGGUUAGUGUGUUCUCUGUAACCAGUGUUAUGAAUUAUCCUGAUUGCUCUUUUUUGCAGAAUCGACAGUGAUUGUAGUGUAGAUUUAUAAGUAUUGCCCCAGAUCUCUGCACAGUAACUCAAAUACGGAAAUAUCAGUGAAUUGUAAAGAAUGUGGAGUGAUUUGUGGUCCAGAAAGUGUUUUGCCUUACUUAGUACUGAGAUGCUACGUGACAGUUUGCUUCGAACAUGCUUUAUGUGAGGUUUCCAUGUUAUUUUUUCGUCCAUAAUUACACCCAGAAAUCUAUUUUCAUGUACCCUUGCAAUGUCCACCCCGUCUAUCUGUAUUAUUGCUUGAGUGUUCAUUUUACAGUUCCCAAAUAACAUGAAUUUGGUUUUGUUUAAAUUUAAAGAUAAUUUGUUUCUAUCAAACCACCUUUUUAAUUUACACAUUUCUUCAGUGAUACACCCCAGAAGCUCCUGUAAAUUCUUCCCUGAGCAAAACAUGUUCGUGUCAUCAGCAAAUAGUACCAAUUUCAAUAUAUUUGAGACGUUACAUAUAUCAUUUAUAUAUAGAAUAAACAGUUUGGGACCCAGCACUGACCCCUGGGGGACGCCACAGGCAAUGUCCAAGCACGAUGAGCUAUAGUCUCCCAACUUCACAAAUUGACUCCGGCCCUUUAAAUAACUCUCAACCCAUUGCAAAACUAUCCCCCUGAUCCCGUACCGUUCCAGUUUAUUGAUUAAUAUGUCAUGAUUGAUUGUGUCAAAGGCUUUCUUAAGAUCAAUGAAUAUUCCAAUUGCAUAUUGUUUAUUUUCUAUGGCGUUAGUGAUUACUUCUAAUGAUUCCAUUAAUGCCAGUGAUGUUGAACUGUUUGGUCUGAAUCCGUAUUGAUUGUCAGUGAGUAAUUUAUGUUUGACUAUGAAUUUGUCUAAUCGAUUAUUGAAUACUUUUUCUAGAAAUUUUGAAAAUUGUGGUAGUAAUGAGACGGGUCUGUAAUUUGUGAAUUGGUGUCUAUCUCCAGAUUUAUACAGCGGUACAACUUUUGCCAUUUUCAUUUUGCUUGGAAAUUUGCCAG
rnacentral:lncRNA from 1 species